UACAGAGGUCCCGAGCGUUGUUCGGAUUCACUGGGCGUAAAGGGUGCGUAGGUGGCGUGGUAAGUUUGAUGUGAAAGCUCAGGGCUUAACCCUGAAAUGGCAUUGAAUACUACUGUGCUGGAGGUUUGGGAGAGGACGCGGAAUUCCAGGUGUAGCGGUGAAUGCGUAGAUAUCUGGAGGAACACCGGUGGCGAAGGCGGCGUCCUGGACCAACACUGA
rnacentral:rRNA from 1 species